CUGGGAGCUGCAAGGAAUUCAGCCCAGUGAAUGGAAGGAAUUCAGGCCAGUGAAUGGACAUCAGGGAACAGCUGUACAUGCAAAGGCAGAAAGAGAAGUUUCCCAGGGAGAAGAACAGGAACUCACAGCCACCAAGGCCUGACAGUCCCCUGCAGCCAGAGCUCAGCACACAGCCAGUCAGGCAAUUCCAGCAUCUAAAAGGAAAAAAAAGAACAAAAAAAGUGACUUAUUUUGUUUUAAAGUUACUUUCAGUUGUUCCAAGCAAA